GCAAAGGCAAUGUGAAGAUGGCCAUCACAAUUGCUUUGCAAUGGAUUCUGGCAACUUCCCCAAGCAUCUUUGUUCUCCCAUGACUGCACAGCUUAAGCAACCCAAUCUGGUCUUGGCAAACCACCAAACCUAAAAAAAGAACCAAAAAAAGUCUCCCAUAUUUGGUUUACUCCAACUUUCUCACAGUGAUGUAAGUUUUCAUGCUGUCUGAAGCCAUACAAAGGCAGAAGUGAAUUGGAAGCUGCUUUGACCUCAGGAGCCUGGUGGUAUAAUUUGAACAUCAACUGGAGCCUGGAACCUGUCCUCAAACUGAUUAGUAACUUACUUGAAAGCUUGUUGCCAUAAUUUGAGAGGACUAUUCCUGUAAACCAGGGCUAUUGCUUGACCCUAAGAUGUAUUUAAUUUACACUGCAAAAUG